rnacentral:rRNA from 1 species
AGCCUACGGGGCGCAGCAGUGGGGAAUAUUGCACAAUGGGGGAAACCCUGAUGCAGCGACGCCGCGUGGGUGAAGAAGCGCCUCGGCGCGUAAAGCCCUGUCAGCAGGGAAGAAAAUGACGGUACCUGAAGAAGAAGCCCCGGCUAAAUACGUGCCAGCAGCCGCGGUAAUACGUAUGGUGCGAGCGUUAUCCGGAUUUAUUGGGUUUAAAGGGUGCGUAGGCGGACGCUUAAGUCAGCGGUAAAAUUGCGGGGCUCAACCUCGUCGAGCCGUUGAAACUGGGUGCCUUGAGUGGGCGAGAGGUA